rnacentral:lncRNA from 1 species
CUCCAGAAGUGGGAACCUUCCAACCCCACUUCCAGGCUGCCGUUUGCUGUCACAGAGUGACGUUUUCAGCAUGGCUUCAGUUCUUUUGCCCAAACAGAGGAAAACUUGCAGAUAUUUAAAGGAAAAGUUGCCUGAUGUUCUUUCAAUUCCUCCACAUUAUGAAGACUGAUUCCAGUUUAAGGAGAAUUCUAGGAAUCUUCCUUCAACUUUCUGGUCCUGAAAGACCAGGUCCAUAAAAGGAUGUGGUUGGAGCAGAUAAUCUGCAGCAGCUCUGGUGUGCCUGAAACUGUCAGCAGUUAAACCGCUCCUGUUCCUUUUUGAGAUCUUAAUCAGAAAUGAAUAUGCAUCAAAGACACCCCAGAGCGAGACCCUCUUCCGUGUUAUUUCUACUGAAUGAGAGGCAGGAACUGCAUCAGUGUUUUGCAUGUCGUGAACUAUGGCCAUGAGACUAGAGUCCCCAGGAUGACACUCCACCAUCUGACUCAUGCUGAGGGCUCACACUGGCCCCUGAUAUUAUUUCUGAAGCCCUAACACUGAACGUAAAAACCUGGGAGAGAACUGUACGGAAGGACUCCAGGAUCCUGAUAGCCCCCAUGGAACAGGGCUUCGUGGAUUCAGGCGUCAGAAUCAAGCCUAGAGAGAGGAGAUGUUUACCGCUCAUGGCAGAGUGAGGCCUCGCGGUGAAUGGAAAGCAUGGCUGGGCACAGGGGUGGUCCUGAUGGAGGGGCCAGAGGCUGAUGAUGGCGUGGAGGCCCUGACACAGGGCAGCCCCGCCAGCCUCUGCAUGGCCGGGGGAGUUACACCCUUGAGGACGGGUUCCAGGAAUAAGAUGUGUGAUAUGCAGAAGACAACAGGGCCUUUGUGUGGAAAGGCAUCCGUGAAUUAACACCAAUGGCGGAGAGCAGGCAGUAGGGAAGCGGCCGCGGUGGGCGCUGUUCCGCACCCCAUGUGGUCUGGCUUGCACGGCCAGGGCAGCCCAGGCGUCGGCCUCCUGUUUCUCUCCUGCCAUGAUCCUCUUUCUACCCCCAAAGCUCUUACCUGGCCCCUGUAUCCAAGCCUUCCUCGGGUACUGCCCUGGCCAGGAGAGAAGAAAGCACCCAGCCUCCUGGUCAGUGUUCCGCUGAAGCAUUGUAUGAGUCCGGGUUCUCUAGAGGGACAGGACUAAUGGGAUAGGUGUAUACAUGAAGGGGAGUUUAUUAAGGAGAAUUGACUCA